AUUUACAUGCCUACAACAUAACUUUAAUGCACCAUAUCCCAUUAAAACUCUGUAGUUAAGCGCGCUUGGGCUAGAGUAGUACUAGGAUGGGUGACCGCCCGAGAAAUCCUAUUGUUUUAAAUU
rfam:Picea glauca, whole genome shotgun sequence.